rnacentral:rRNA from 1 species
UACAGAGGUCUCAAGCGUUUGUUCGGGAUUCAUUGGGGCGUAAAGGGUGCGUAGGGCGGCGCGGUAAGUCGGGUGUGAAAUCUCGGAGCUUAACUCCGAAACUGCAUUCGAUACUGCCGUGCUUGAGGACUGGAGAGGAGACUGGAAUUUACGGUGUAGCGGUGAAAUGCGUAGAUAUCGUAAAGGAAGACCCGUGGCGAAGGCGGGUCUCUGGACAU